AAUCAAAACCAGUCGCGACUCACUCGCACUCGUUUUCCCGCGCUUUGCGUCAGCUACAUGGAAUUACUUCUUGUUUUGAUUCGCUCACUGUUUUGUCUGUGCCAUUUGUGAUUGGUUAGAGUGAUUUCUUUGGUUUUGGUUUUCCGACACUCAAUUGAAAAAUGCUCUAUGAGUCAAAGUCACAAAAUUGCGAAACUAAACCGCCAUAUCAAAUGCGGAGCUGCUUUAUAACGUUCACUUGUUCCAAGCUACAGAAAUGUAUGUCAAUUUCUGCUAACAACUUUUAAACAGUUUUCCCUUGAUUUAUUUGUAGCUGUUGCCAAAACAAAGGGCGUAAGUAGAACAGGAUUUUCCUUUUUCUUUGAAGACACAUUGGGGUCGAAGACUUACGUUAUAAAUGCCACAAAUAAAGGGGAGAUCAUGGUAGCCGCGGAAUACAGCACGGACAGCCGAACAGAGUCGUCAAUGAGAUUCAGGCCAAUCUACUACUGGAGUUUUACAGUUUUUAGAAACGUGAAGUACAAAACUUACCUGGGUUGCGAAAAAGAUGGACGAUCGCUGCUGGUGGCGAUGAACAGCACAAGUUACCCGGAUCCGAGAGCUUUAUUCAUUACCAACAAAUACAAUCUCGAUUUUAGCUUUUGAUUGCAUCAAGAGUUCAGAGGUUAGAAAUCAACAGCAAAGAUAUGUUAACUGAUUUAACUCAUAGAUGCAGGUGUCUUCUGACAUAAGGAGUUACUUUUGCUUUUCACUAUCGGUGAUCUGCCUUUUAAACCAAACUCCUCUUCUAACUGUUUUUUUGGCGAUCAAUAACUGAUGGAAAAGAGCUUGUGACUGUAAUAGCUGUAGUGAUAGCCGCCACGAAUUUUUGUUACAGACCUAACUACGUUUAGAGGGCCAAACUAAAAUAAUCCAAUAACCCGAUUGUCCAAUUGCUUGUCUGAUAUAUGUGCACUGUAUAUGUCUGGAUUUAUGAAAGCAGAGUUAAAGAAAUCAAGCAUUUUAUUUUAGACGAUAUAAAAAAAGUCUUUUUUUUCCUCCACUCUCUUAUCUCCCUUUUCUUGCUCUCCUCUCUCUAUUCUUCUCCAUCUUUGGAGUUAUUUUAAGGCCUU